UGGACACGGAUGCUACACGGUGGAAUGUCUGUGUUACGGUAGUGGCUCCAAGGAGAAAAAGCUGGUCUGCCCAUGGGAGGAAGUCAGAGAAGGCUUCUCAGAGAAUAGGGUGCUCAGGAUGGCACCUUAUCCUGUAUGGCAAAGGAGUCAUGGGAGGGUGUUAAGCAAAAAAUAACAUCAGAUGGAGUUUUAGAAAGGUGGUUGUGGAGUCAGUGUAGGAAGGGCAAGACGAGGCAAGGAGACUGAUGGACUGGCUGCUGCAGUAAUUGAGAGACCACCGUCUCAAGUAAGGAAGUUAAGGGUACAGAAGACGGUGAAGGGCUGGAGACAUUCUGUGGGUAGGAGUGACAAGCUGUGGGAGUCGAUUGUGGCUACAUGGGUGGAUGGAUGAGCAUUCUUCGGCAAAGAAGAUCUAUUUAAAUUUUGUAAAAUGAAUCUCUUUUUUAGAAGAAAUAUCAAACAGUCUUUGGUUGUUCUGUAACUAUCUGGCAUCUCCAUCUGCCUGUUUUUUACAUAAAAUUUUCAUAAACCAAAAUCAAAUGUACUUUAUUUGAUUUUUCAUCUUAGUAGCAGUAAUAUGAGACCCUACACAUUAUCAUCCAGAGGUCAUGAGAUCCAUCAGAGUAAUUUCCCGACAUUGUUUUGACUUUCUGGGAAGCCUGAGGGAAUGUUUUGAGAUGGAUCUCCUUCCCACCCCACUUUGGCUUGAUGCUUCACUUCUGAUUAUUGUGGUGCGAAGAUCUAAACCUACGGCUUACACUAGGCUUGAUUUCUAAGGUCACGUUCAUCUGCAGGCUUUGUAAAAUCUCCUAACAACAUAGUAAGAAAGGUCACUUAACAUAGGACAAUUAACAUGUUCCCUCCCUACGAAUGAAGUUUGGUGUAAAAAGAAGCAAAAAUAGUGCCAGAAAUAAAUUACUGGCUUAUAAACAUGUUUAUUAAAUGCAUCAUACUUGGAGCACCAGAUGUGAGAAAGACAAAGGCUAAAU
rnacentral:lncRNA from 1 species